UACCGGGAGGUACUUGGCUUAA
rnacentral:miRNA from 1 species